rnacentral:rRNA from 1 species
GAGUUUGAUCCUGGCUCAGGACGAACGCUGGCGGCGUGCCUAACACAUGCAAGUCGAACGGAGAUACUGAAUUUCGGUUUAGUAUUUUAGUGGCGCACGGGUGAGUAACGCGUGAACAACUUGACCUUCAGAGGGGGAUAACAGCGAGAAAUCGGUGCUAAUACCGCAUGAGACCACAAUUCCACAUGGAGAAGGGGUCAAAGGAGGAAUCCGCUGAAGGAGAGGUUCGCGUCCCAUUAGGUAGUUGGCGGGAUAACAGCCCACCAAGCCGACGAUGGGUAGCCGAGCUGAGAGGCUGAUCGGCCACACUGGGACUGAGACACGGCCCAGACUCCUACGGGAGGCAGCAGUGGGGGAUAUUGCACAAUGGGGGAAACCCUGAUGCAGCGACGCCGCGUGGAGGAAGAAGGUUUUCGGAUUGUAAACUCCUGUCGUUAGGGACGAUAAUGACGGUACCUAACAAGAAAGCACCGGCUAACUACGUGCCAGCAGCCGCGGUAAUAC